ACGUGGUAUAUGAACUUACCUGCAGUCACUGCGGCGACACCUACAUCGGAGAAACGAGCAGGCCAGUUAGACUCCGCUACAACGAGCAUCGGAGGAACGGCAUUAACAGAGAAGAGGACACUCCCCUAGGAGAGCAUGCGCUGCAUAAGCACCCUGAGAUGGAUCGACGCGACAUCUCGGUGACGGCCAAAAUCCUGCGUGUAUGCAAAGACGAAGCGGAUAGAAGAAUCGCUGAAUCCAUCUUCAUCCGAGACGCCAGGCCCAAAAUUAACGAUAACACUACAUCAUGGCAGCUUCUUCCAAAAUAAUGUAUAUAAAUGUGUGUGAAUUGGUUCUUGAAAGAUACCUAUAUAUGUACUGCUAGUUUAACUGGGGAAUUAUGUGUAGAUAUAUUUUUAAGGUAGGAACUAGGGUGAUCAAUUUGCACGGGAUCUGUGUAUUUAAAUUUCUUACUGCGACAUUACUGAAGAACUUGAGACGAAUUCGACAUUGUGUGCCUGUUAUGUGUGUAAAUAAUUACAAUCGACCGACGAAGAGCUGUGCUCGAAAUAUCUCGAUUUUUAAUACAGUAAUUUAUUUUGGCAAUUUCAUAUUUCCAUACAGAAGUGAGGAUAAGCAGACGUGCUAAUGGCGCAAUAAGAAACGGAGGCAGCAAAGGUCGGACUUAGACGCCGCAUCAGCAGUGACACCAAUGUCCCUGCCUAUCGAACGAACAUCAGUCACCCAGGCCGUGACCUCACCCAACACGGACGAAGCGCCGGUCACUGCGCGUCCAUCCAGCGCUCCCACCGCCGUCUGGCGCCCCAGUGCGGCGUCAUCGCGAUUAACUGGCCGAUGACGCCGGCCGGUGGCUGACGGGGCACCGGCGGGGAACCACGCACGGCGCGAGGGCGGUACGGUUCAGAGUAUAAAACCCCUCCGCCGACCGGGCACAGGCAGAACAGGGACAGCAGCCGAGCACAACACUCACAGUCCGCCUACCCACACCGACAACAUGAACUUCAAGCUGGUGCUUCUGCUCCUGGUGGUUCUGGUCGGCGUCGCCGCCGGGUUCGGGUUCGGCCGCAGGGGCGGCGGAUACUACGGUGGCUCCCGCGGCGGCUACUACGGCGGAUCCCGCGGGUUCGGCCGCGGAGGAUACUACGGUCGCGGCCGCGGCGGCGGAUACGGCUACGGCAGAAGGCACUACGGCUAGUCUCCCCGACCCGACCUACCGAGCUUUGACCGCGCCGCUGGUAUCCGGCGGUGGCGGCGGUGCCCCCUCGCCCUGGGGCGGCAGGGAGACGGCAGUCGCCGGACCGAGGGUGUCCGGUCCGUCAGACUCUGACCGCGCCCGGCCCACCGGUCGGUGAAGUGCCGUGUCCCUGUGUUCGUCCAGUACCCCCUCAGUGAGAGGUCCCGACCUCCGGCCGCCUGAGGCCGUCCGCCUCGCACCUCGGCUGAGAUGGAUCCCCGUCCUCCGAACACUGAUAUGCUUUGAUGCUUAUUAAUGUUGACGGAGAACUUUGUUCAACGCGACUGUCCUUUGCGAUAGAAAUAUACGUAUAAUGCAAACAUAUUUUUGCCUGUAUCCAGUAUUGUAGUUAAUAUUGAAUCUAGGGUACUUUAGGAAACAGCCGCAUUACGAACACCGCAAUUAUUAUCCCGUGCCCUGCUGGGGGGGGGGGGGGGGUCCCAAAAAUCUUAAGAACGGCGGCGUGGAGCGCCACCGUUUUUGGCACACCUUAUCAAACAUCAAUUCUACACAUGUGAAAAUUUCAGACCAAGGUCAUUCAAGGUCAGGUCACCAGGUCACUUGAAGUGACCUCACCUCAUAAAUAGUUCCAAUGUCUGCCAUAGCUACACCGAAAGACCGAUCGCUUUGAAACUUUCAGCGAUUGCUAAGAGCAGUAUGUACAAAAUGUAUAUCUCAGAAUUUUGAUAUCGAUGACCGAAGGUCAGGUCAAUUUUGCAACCUCCCCAUUAUUGGUAAGUCAAUAGGAGAAAACUGAAAUGCGCCGCUUUUGGAUGAAAACCAUUAUAAACACUCCCAAGCACUGAAAUACAAGUAACUUAUACAUACUGACCUUGAAAAUGGUGUCCGUGACCCCUGUUUAUGCCCCUGAGGUCAUCUCAGGUCACGAAUGGUAUCUAACAGUUGUUCGCAAAUAACUUUUGAUAGAUGCAUGCUAGAGCAAUGAAUACGCCUUAAAUGUGUUCAGCUUGACGAUACGGAUCGACUGCUAUGUAACAUGACCUUUUCCGGUCAGGUCAUGACCUUGACCUGAGGUCAAAUUUUCAAGUUGACCUUUCAAGGUCAAAUUAUAGUUCAUUCGAAGCGUAUCGACGAGAAGAACACAAUGCUGGCAAAAGUACCUAAUGUCGUAGCUCUUUUGAGUCAAAAUUAUUGCCGAAAAAACGUUCGUAAAAACGGCUAUUUUUGGAGAUUUUGCCCUCUGGACCUACCGCGCCUUCAAACAGGUUAGACAGUGCCUAAGCUAUCCUAAUGAGCGCGACGACUCUGCAAAAAAAAACGUCAGGAACUAAGUAAAGCGACGUCACUGUUCCAUAGCCCUUGCAAACGCAGGAAUGACAGCGAGGAAGGCCAUUUCGUCGGGCGGAGCACCGUAUAAAACCCGUCUGCGAGCCGGGCAACAGCAGAAAGGACACAGCAGUCGAGCAACCCACUCACCCUACGCUCACUGACGACAACAUGAACUUCAGGCUGGCGCUCGUGCUGCUGGUGGCUCUCGUCGGAGUCGCCGUCGGAACCGGAUCAUACGGACGCAGGACCGGCGGCGGAUACUACCGUGGAAACGUCGGUGGUGGCGGAUACUACCGUGGAAACAGCCGCGGAUACUACCCCGGGAACAGCGGAUACUCCCGUGGAAUCGGCGGCGGAUACCAGGGCGGUCGCCGCAUUGGAUACAGCCAUGGACAGAGGAGCUACGUCGGCUAGUCCCCCGACCGCUGCCGACCCCACCUACCGACCUACCGAGCUCUGACCGCGCCGCUGGUAUCCGGCGGUGCGGCAGGGAAGGGGUGGCCGCCGUGCCCCCUCGCCCUCGGGCGGCACUCACGUGAGACUCACCGCAGCUGAUAUGGAUCCCCGGUCUCUGACAACUGAUCAGUGCCGAAUGGUCGGCGCUUAUUGCUGUUAGAGAAGAACUGUGCUGGAUGUGACUGUGCUUGGAAAUACAAAUAUACGUCUUAUGUACCAGAAAA